UAUACUACUUAAAUUUUAAAUUAAUUAUUUAGAUCUAAUCUAAAUAAUUAAAAUUAAAUUUUAUAAGAAUCAGCACAAACUAAGACAACCUUUAUACUAUAAGGGGUAAACCUUACAGCAUGACAACCUUAUAUCAGUUUGUACGAUCAGAUCUAUAACUUAUUUUAGAUUUAAAUAUCAUAUAUCAGAUCUAAUCUAAAUUAAAUUAUAGAUC
rnacentral:lncRNA from 1 species